rnacentral:rRNA from 1 species
UAGCGUAGGGUGCGAGCGUUAAUCGGAAUUACUGGGCGUAAAGAGUGCGUAGGCGGUCGUUAUGUCUGCUGUGAAAGCCCCGGGCUUAACCCGGGAAUGGCAGUGGAAACUGGCGGGCUUGAGUGUGGCAGAGGGGGUGGAAUUCCGCGUGUAGCAGUGAAAUGCGUAGAGAUGCGGAGGAACACCGAUGGCGAAGGCAGCCCCUGGGCUAACACUGACGCUGAGGCACGAAAGCGUGGGGAGCAAACAGG